GAUGAAGAACGUAGCGAAAUGCGAUAAGUAAUGUGAAUUGCAGAAUUCAGUGAAUCAUCGAAUCUUUGAACGCACAUUGCGCCCGCUAGUAUUCUGGCGGGCAUGCCCGUCCGAGCGUCAUUUCAACCCUCAAGCCCCCGGGCUUGGUGUUGGGGAUCGGCGAGCCUCCGCGCCCGCCGUCCCCUAAAUCUAGUGGCGGUCUCGCUGUAGCUUCCUCUGCGUAGUAGCACACCUCGCACUGGGAAACAGCGCGGCCACGCCGUUAAACCCCCAACUUCUGAACGUUUGACCUCGGAUCAGGUAGGAAUACCCGCUGAACUUAAGCAUAUCAAUAAGCGGAGGA
rnacentral:misc_RNA from 1 species